AGAAAGUCCGCUUCGGUGGAUGAGUAAAGUGGCGCACGGGUGAGUAACGCGUGGAUAAUCUACCCUUUAGUCUGGAAUAACUUAUCGAAAGGUGAACUAAUACCGGAUAAUAUCCCGAUUUCUUCGGCGAUCGGGAUCAAAGAAGGCCUCUGCUUGCAAGCUUUCACUGAAGGAUGAGUCCGCGUACCAUUAGCUAGUUGGCAGGGUAAUGGCCUACCAAGGUUAUGAUGGUUAGCUGGUCUGAGAGGAUGAUCAGCCACACUGGAACUGAAACACGGUCCAGACUCCUACGGGAGGCAGCAGUGAGGAAUAUUGCGCAAUGGGGGCAACCCUGACGCAGCAACGCCGCGUGAGUGAGGAAGGUUUUCGGAUUGUAAAGCUCUGUCGAGCGGAAAGAAGUGCAUGGUGGUUAAUAUCCAUCAUGCUUGACGGUACCGCUAAAGGAAGCACCGGCUAACUCCGUGCCA
rnacentral:rRNA from 1 species